rnacentral:rRNA from 1 species
GUCUCAGUUCGGAUUGCAGGCUGCAACUCGCCUGCAUGAAGCUGGAAUUGCUAGUAAUCGCGGAUCAGCAUGCCGCGGUGAAUACGUUCCCGGGCCUUGUACACACCGCCCGUCACACCAUGAGAGUCGGGAACACCCGAAGUCCGUAGUCUAACCGCAAGGAGGGCGCGGCCGAAGGUGGGUCCGGUAAUUGGGGUGAAGUCGUAACAAGGUAGC